rnacentral:rRNA from 1 species
GUACACACCGCCCGUCACAUCACGAAAGUGGRUUGUACUAGAAGUCYGYGUGCYAACCGCAAGGAGGCAGCGGCCCAAGGUAUGAYUCAUGAUUGGGGUGAAGUCGUAACAAGGUAGCCGUAGGUGAACCUGCAGAAGGAUCA